AGCUGGAGAUGAGAGAUCAGGAAGGCGCACUAAAUCCAGGGAAGGAGAGAGAAGCAAACAGGGAGUCUGGCUGGGACGCAACAUAGACAGACAAGGCAAAGUUCAAGUCCUGGCUGUACCACACAAAUCAAAAAUACUGACCAGGUCAGCAUGAUGUCAUCACUGAUUGAUGAAUGGGGAGGGCUGUAUGUGCCCUUGCUUGAGCCAACGGUCGGCCAUUGUGUUGACAGUCCCAUCUCAACAGUGAACUGUGAGAGAGACUUCUCUGCAAUUAACACAGUCAAGACAGACCUGAGGAACCGGCUGCAGGGAGACUGGAAGCUUGCCUCACAUUGACUAUAAAUGUGACCACCAAUUGUUGAUUUCCCUUAUAAAAGAG